rnacentral:lncRNA from 1 species
AGGGAGAAAAUUAGGACAAAUACCUAAUGCAUAUGGGGCUUAAAUCCUAGACGUCAGGUUGAUAGAAGCAGCAAACCACCAUGGCACAUGUAAACCUAUGUAACAAACCUGCACGUUCUGCACAUGUAUUCCAGAACUUAAAGUAAAACAAACUAACAAAAAUGCACUAAGGCUGAGGGGGAGUGGGGGUAGGGGCAGGAGUCAGGCGGGGGUGGGUGAGUCCUGGAGUUUUAUCCAGUCAUUGACACUGAUGUGGGAACAGCCCAAUCAGGCGCGCAGUUGGAGAGGACAGGAGAGGAGGGCGUGGCUUCUGGCGUUUGGCGGGUCUUUGUCUCUUGCUGGCGCUGGCACAGGAACUUGGGAUCCGUCUCCUCUUUCGCCUCCUCCGCUUUGGGAGCCCCGGGCUACUCUUUCACAGCCCCUGUUGCCCUGUGAUCUGUAGGUCCUUGGGGACGCACAGUUAAGAUGACAGGACAUCCUGGAAGCUGGGAAAUGUUAGCAUUUCAUCAUAUCAAUGUGAAGAUUUCUUCCAGACCUUGGCUGGAGAAGGAAAGAAGGUGUGUUUUGCCUGAUUCAGGGACUAUAGAGAGAACCAAGUUCUGCAGGCCUGUCACCUAAGUCUCAGAUGAGUAUGAAUUCUUUUGUGUUUUUCACAGAUUUUUGCAGUGGCAGGACCAAGUUCAAAUGAGUCAUAGCCAAGUUUACAGUAAGAUGUGGUAGUAUUCUGUUUUGAACCGAGGACCAUGAUUGGCAAGCUUGCCACUUGGUCAAGUGCUUACCCUCUAAAGAUGUCUUCCUUGGUCUUUGCCUCCAGCUGGGUGUCACAAACUCUGAACUGGAUUCUAAGGCUUUCAUGAAUGCACUUAUGUUUCCCGUGGCAGCUGCAUUAUGUUGUGGGGGAUGUGCAUGCCGAACCUCCCAUUCUGUCGUCUUGCUUAUGUUACUCUCCUUUAUGUUUCACUUUCUCAAAUGAAUGUCAAGCUGGUGAUUUUUAGAUUCAAAAAUUCUAAAAUAAAUUGCUCAAAUUUCCACAUUAUGUAAGCUAUUAAUAAAAUGUCUUGUAGGUGCUACAUAUUUAUUAAAAUUUUUGGUUGUAAUUUUAAGCUCACUGCAGGCAGAAAGGAAUCAUUAACAUUUAUAUUCUUUUUUUUAGUCUGUAUCUAAAUGAUGGUAUAUUUUAAUUCCAGAUAUUUACUUUAUACUGCAGUAAUGCUCGUCAUAUUUUGCAAAAUUUAUGUUGUUCUUUUAUUUGGAAAUAUAAGGCUUUUUUAGCUCUUGAAAUCUAUAUUAUAGUCAUAUAAUUUUAUUAUGUUUUGUGGUAAGAAGUGCAGCAACAUAUUGAGAACAUAAUAAAAUUAUCCUGUAUUUUUAAUGAUUAUUUAUUAAAUUCCUCUCAUUAGAGCCUGUUAUUAAUGAUUGUAAUGUAUUUUCUGUAUAAUUUUACUGCAAUUUAUUAAAUUCUAAUGACUUAAAUUGUCUGCUUUUCAUGAGUGCA